CGGGCAGCUGGCCGACGGCCGGCACGGCAACAGCCAAGUGCUGCUACUCGGCCUCUAGUCAGGACGAUGGCAGGGUUCAGUCUCUUUGCCCGC
rnacentral:tRNA from 1 species